UUAGCCAAGACACGCGUCGAUUCAAACUUGAGCCAGCAGCGAACAGGCAGGCAUGAGGUGGAGAACUGGAGAAUUCAGAGGCGAUAAGAGUUGGAAUAAAUACUGCUCAGACAGCGGUUCAUCGUCAUCCUCCCGUUCAUUUUUUCCCCAACCCGAGCUCUCUGUUCCUCGCCUAUUUCGUCGCCCUCAAGCGUUCUUGAUUCGAUUCCUCGCACACGCCGCAUCAUCAGCUUCCCCUUGAUAGAUUUUGAGUGCUCCUAGCCUUCGCCAUCGACCACAGCCGUUGCAGCGCCGCCGCCAUCCCCGUUCUGUUCGCCGUCGCGCAGAAUUCCUAGGUCACCGAAUCCGAAGUCGCGGACGUCAGCUUCGAAUAUAUCGAGUUACCGCCCGAGGGACCCACCGGGGAGGAGGAGGUGAUCGUGAUGGAGCACGAGCCCGAUUCCCAAGUCGAAGCUCCGCCUACCGAAGCAAAUCAAGACACCGCGAGCGAAGCCGUCUGCAAGUUGGUCGCUGAACCAAUCCAGGAGCCGCAAGCGGGAGAGUAGCAGGAGAACGCCGUCGAACCCACUUCCGAAGAAGUCGCUAACCCCGCUGACUUGCAAGGCAAGCCCCGGAGCAUAUCCCUUAUUUUAAUUAUUCCAUGUUAUAUUUAAAGUAUUGUGCAUUUACGUUCAAGGAAUUGAUUGGAACCAUAGAUGCAUAA